rnacentral:lncRNA from 1 species
AGUCAGAUAAUCUGCACAGGCAGUUUUGACGAAUUUGUUACUUAAUAAUUCACUUGUGCUACUUUUCUUUUUUUUGCUUGAUAAAUCACACAAAACACAAAAACAUAGUAAAUAGCUCAAAAAUAUAAAGAACUAACUAAGAAAAGACAAGUGAAUUUUAUGUAAAAUAUAUAUAAAUAUGAGCUUAUCAAAUACCCCCACACUUAGCUUUUGCUAGUCCUCGAGCAAAAUAAAGAAAACAAAACACAACCUAAACCUUCCAACGUUUGCCUUAGGGAUUUCCAACGCACAUGACAUGUUAAAAAUCAUUAUCCCCACAGAUUUGAGUCAUCUUCACACUUAAGCACAUACUUAAUCAUAGUCACCACGUACUAGUUCACAUUUUAACCAAUUAAAAUAUGAUUUUGAAUGUAGUAACAUGCCUUAGAGAAUUUGCUCAAGUCCUUACAAGAUAUUCACUCAAUUUUCACUCAGAUUUUCUAACUACACACCCUAUACUAGUUAUAUGUGAGAAGAUUGAUGUAAACAUGAAAACGAACGCUCACAUAUAUGUAUUACAAAGAAAGCGAUUUCUGGAGUUAUUAAGCAUGUUUAGAUAUGAUCUCAUGAAUGGAAUGCUACUACUUAGAUGCGAGAACCAGUGACACCAUAUGCUCAUACCAAAUUCAAACUCCACAAAUUGAAACACAUAACACUCAAGAUUGAAGUCAAAGGUUGUAACGGGGCUUGGGGUGUUGGCUAACAAAUGAAGGUAAGGGAAAACAAACGUUCUUAAAGCAAUAGCAAAUAAAGUAAUGAACUUGAAAUUUAGAAUUCUUAGAUUGCAGAAAUCAACUUUUAGACAUAAGGGAAAGAUUUAAACAACUCUUAGGGUCAAAUUCAACUUUUUUUUUUCUUUGGAUGAAUUUUUCUUUUCUUUUCUUUCCACCCGUGCCUAUGGCACACUACUUACAUGAGAAACACUUCCCCCACACUUAUUUUCUGCCAUACAUAAUCAAAAGGAAUUCAAUUUGAAUCAUGCUUUACUAUGCUUUAAGAACAAGGGUAUAAAUGUCCUAAUCUAGGCUAGGUGGAGAUGAUGUGAUUAACAAAGAAAAACAGGCUAAACAAGACUCAACGGGGUUAACUUAAACAUAUAAUGAAGUAGGAUACACGACAAUUUGGCUUUGGUGGUGGUAACUACACAACUUCAUCUUGAAUAUGUGUUAUGCAAAUCAAUAUCAUG